AGACUAUAGUCGGGACAUCUUCUUAGAAGAUCUUUAAAUCUCUCCCAAACUUCAUAUAAUGACUCGCCUUCAUGUUGAGUGAAACCUAUAAUAUCCAUAUGAAGUUU